AAACCGGAGGGAAGGUGGGGAUGACGUCAAGUCAUCAUGGCCCUUACGGCCUGGGCUACACACGUGCUACAAUGGUCGGUACAAAGGGUUGCCAAGCCGCGAGGUGGAGCUAAUCCCAUAAAACCGAUCGUAGUCCGGAUCGCAGUCUGCAACUCGACUGCGUGAAGUCGGAAUCGCUAGUAAUCGUGAAUCAGAAUGUCACGGUGAAUACGUUCCCGGGCCUU
rnacentral:rRNA from 1 species